rnacentral:rRNA from 1 species
UACGAAGGGGGCUAGCGUUGCUCGGAAUCACUGGGCGUAAAGCGCACGUAGGCGGAUCUUUAAGUCGGGGGUGAAAUCCUGGAGCUCAACUCCAGAACUGCCUUCGAUACUGUAGAUCUUGAGUCCGGGAGAGGUGAGUGGAACUGCGAGUGUAGAGGUGAAAUUCGUAGAUAUUCGCAAGAACACCAGUGGCGAAGGCGGCUCACUGGCCCGGUACUGACGCUGAGAAGCGAAAGCGUGGGGAGCGAACAGG